CGCCUCGGGGCCUCGCGAGCAGGACGGGAAGGAGGAGAUGCGGCCGCGAACCGCCCGCAGGGCACAGCGCCGCCGCGCCCCGAGCUGAGAAUCACAUCAGCUGCUGCGGAGCCAAGAAUUGGUUUAAAAUUUUAUCACAGAACUCUCACAUCGUAGAACUGAUUUUACCUUCAUUUCUUAAGGAAGCAGGGAGUAAAGCUGCGGUGAAAACAGUGCAGUCAUCAUUCAGAACAGGCCUUGUUCUGUAGAGCAUUACAGCAUUUCUCAACACAGGCGGUACUAAGCACAGUGCUUUGUACGAUCGGCUGUGGGAAAGGUUUGCUUGGAAAGCUGUUAAAACUUAAUUAAGACUGUUUGUCAGUCCGUUAAGAGGAGCUACUAUGGCAAGGUAACUCUGUGAUGUCUCAUAGCACAAGCCCAAAAGGGCAUUCGGUGGUACUCGUGGUACUCGUAAAGUGGGAGUCUUGAAAAACAAUAGGUGGGGAGGCUUUUCCAAGCUACCUAAUUAUAAUGAAACUAACUGCCAGAGGAAACCAUUCAGCAGCAUUCAAAGCGCACAGGUAUUUGUAAGAACACAAAAACCACCUACUGCAUUCGCAGCAGAAGCCAAGAAAACAUUUUGAAGAUGCUGAUGAAGAUGAAGAUGCUGAUGAAGAUGAAGAUGCUGAUGAAGAUGAAGCAGCACUUGACUUGGUGUCUGUAGGGAAUAAGAACUGUACCUUUCUGUAUCCGCAGAGGUCUUGUGCCUGGUUCAGAGCAGGGGCAGGGGGUGCUGUCGGACCAGAAGGGUUGUGAGCUUUGUCACAUGUCGGGUGAGAACACAUGAAGUCAUACUGCUGAUUGACGCUGCUGUGAAGGCAGAAGUUCAAAGGUCCACGUACGCCGUGGGAGCGCUGUGUGCCGUGGAGGAGCUCAGUGGCGCUGUCUGGGUGUGCACACCAGGCACUGCAAGCUUGGAAGGCACUCCUGCUUCAGAAAAGGCUCUGUAUUGGCAACGGCAGGUUCUUCCCUUGGCAGUCAAUUGCAGGGGCUGCCAGACUGAGAUAUUCCAGGUGCGUGUUUUCUUCACUGAGACACUGAAGGAAAAAAAGCCGUCGUUGCCAGCAGUGUUGCGCGUUGUUGAAACGUUAUACUCUGUUAAUGUUCACUUGAAUGGCUGUUCUUCGUGACUUCCUUCCAGCUCUUUUUGUUGUUCUCAAGUCUUGCUGGCCUGCUAGCUUUGUGUUUACAUGCUCGCUGAGAAGGACUUGUUUAGAGUCCUUCUCUAAACAAACUUCCUUGUUUGUUGCAGAGAUUCCAUGUGCGUGAGCCCUCCUCUUGGGAAGUGGUCCAUACACCUGCCAUUGGGCGCCGUGUUUUUUACAGGGCUCACUUCCGUGGCUGUGAGAAAUGGUUGUUUAAACAAAACAAUUCUUGUUUGGGUUAAAGGAUUUUAAAAUUAUCUAUUUCUAGUAUUUGUUAUUUCUCUUGCUUAUCUGAAGGGAACACACUUUGUUCAGUAGGUGAACAGCCACGGACUUGACUUACUUGAGGAGCAGCUCGCAGGCUGUGCUUGCUCUGCACGCCCAGACGUCUGUCAUCCAAUCUGUCUGUCCAGGAGCAGCUACAGACUUACUGUUCUGCCUGCUUGCACUUAGCGAGGGAGCCAGAAUUCAUAUGGUGCUGUGCGCCUCUUCAGACACAAAGGCAAGCGUGAAUUUAAACCAACUGAAAUGUGUGUUUAGCACAGAACAUCUUUGAGGUGUCUACAGCCACGGAACAAUCUGCCAGGGCUGAAAACAUCCUUCAGCAGUCGGCCCAAUUGCAGGAGGUUGAACUGUGGAGUGUCCGUAGUAGCAAGCCAUCGCUGCUCCGAGGGAAGAGUUUGGUUUGGGUGGAGGGACUGGGAGCGUUCCUGCUUCUGUAUUGGCACAAGUCCUCGCACACGUAUCAUAACCCUGUUUCUGUGUGUCUGAAAGUCCCAGUGUAAUCCAGUACAUAGGUGUACGUGCCCCCACUUUUUCUUUAAACCAGUGCUGUAUUGGAGAAGCACGGUGUCCUCGGUGCUGGAGUCAGCCAGAAGGUUCUAGCCGUUGCAGGACACUGCACUGUUUCUGCACGGUGAUACAAACUGAUGGAAGCACUCAGUCUCACUUCUUCUGCUUGGGAAGGAGCGAAGUUGAGGGUGGCGGUGAGUUCUCCGCAUACCACAAGUACACACACACGGAUUUGUUCAGGCAAAUCCGCCAGAGUCUGAAGCGAGCAGUAAGUGGUUGUGUGUGCAGAGCAGCUGAGGGGUGCCAGCUUUCUGUAGCUGCAGCAGAAAGUGACAGAUAAAGAGCUGGCUGCUCUCCCUGUUUGUGUACUGGCUUUGCCUCGGGCAGCAGAGCGCACGUGAGGGGUUGCUUCAGCCUUUGAUAGAGUUUUCAGGAUUUGAUUGCUUGUGCACAGAGUCUGUUGCAGAUAUAAUUAAACUGAAGCAGAAGUGCAUGACAACCUGUAUGCAGCCUAGCCAACCCUGUGUGUUUUCCAGGCCAAUCAUGCUGUGAAUCACUGAAAACAUGUAAUCUUCUACGGCUUGCUCACAAGAGUUCUUUUGUUCUGUAGCCUUGUAUUUUUCACUGUUUACCAUUUUGUCUGUAUGAAAAUGUAACUCAUGACAUUUAAUAAAAUAUGUAACUCAUUAGUUAUUUAGUGUCCAUCUUCAUCUUGUCACUUUAGUGAAAAUAAUUUGAGCAGAAUGCUCUUUGCAGCUCUGUUCUGAAAAAUGUGGUUCUGUUUUGUCAGGUGGAAGCCAUCACUUUAAGUUUCCUCCUUUUCAAGGAAGUCAGGUUCAACAGCGAGUCUUUGCUUUUGUGGGAUCCAUGGAGCUUGGAGAAAGCUUUGGGAAGAGCUGCCUACUGAAAAUCCAUAAAUAGAAUUGGGUGGUUGGAACUAACUAGAAUAAAUUCGGUAUUUCUUCGACUGUUCACUGUAGGUACUUGGAUUUCUCACUGCUGUUGAAAUCAUCCUUCAGGCUUGGCAGAAAGGCGGGCUGUUGAUUGUUUUCCUUUGGAUGCUCACAGGAGUACCUGGAAUCCGUGCCAUUGCAGCCUCACCGCUGCAGGACAGACCCACUCCCAUUUCAUGCUUAACGGAUUUGAAAACUGAAUUAAACAACCUUAAGAGGGAAACCUGGUCUCUUCUCCAACCCUUUUUUGGGCCGGGGGAGGAGCGGAGGAAAGGAAAACAGCCGUGGCAGAGAACGUGAGCCGGGUCCUGGUGGCUGUUGUUUUCCCUCGUUUCAACAUGCUCAGUUUCCACCAGCUUCAAAUCCCUUGUAUGUCUCUGAGGUGUGAGAGCACUCAUAUUUGAAACUGAAGCACAGAUAUUUUUUUCUCUGAUGUUUACCAGAAUUGAUUUGAGCUGUCUGUAAUGGAGAAACAGUUGCCCAAGCUCUGAAAGUUCCUCUCCCAUUUGUAUGCUAAUGUCUCUUCGAGGCAGAUUUCUCUUUGGGGCUGGGCAUAAAACAAAGUACUGCAAUCUCUCGCUGAGCAAAAAUGACUUAGGAAUAUGUAUUUUCUCAGUUUAACCUUGAGCAAAAUAUUUUUGGCAUCAGAACAUUCAUUUACGUGGACUUGUGAGUGCUUUUAAAAUACAGCUUUUUAUAAUUGGGCUUUUACAGGUUUGGUUAUUUAUGCAAAGCGGAGAUGCGCUUCGUUCUUUUCUGUCUUUGCAUUUGAAUUCUUUAGGAAAUGGGACAAUUGCAGGGAUUUUCUUGGUCCUUGGUGUGCUUCAGCUCCGCCUGUUCGAGGAACUUCCUCACGUGGCUGUUAUACGUUUGUAUUCGUUUGUAUCCGUACUGUGCCUCGAAGUCGUAAAGUGUUGUUACUCUUAAUUAGACAGUAGAGAUUCCUGCAUUUAAAUAUGGAUGCGGAUAGCUCACGAGCAUUCUGUUGUAGUCCCCCCUUACUGCGCUGGAUGCCAGGAGCUGGGCUCUGCAUCUGUCCCUGAAGGACAGCACUCCGGCACGCUGAGCUCCGAGCCUGCCUGUGUUUGGUUCUGCAGCUCCUACACUUCUUCUGCCGUUAAGAGGCUGGGACAACAGAAGUACUGCAGGCGUUUUUGAACACCAGCUCAGCCCCACAACUUCUUGGUUGACAUCGGAACUCCUGCAGCCAGUGUAGAAGUGCAGGCAUUUCUUACUCCCUUUCUGCCCUGUGACCUGGCAGCCAUUGUGGCCAUUACUGCCUUGGGCUUUUGAAAUGGAGAGAGGAAAGCAGAAAAGGGCUGAAUUGUGUGGAGAGCUUCCAGGUAAGUGCACGCAUUCAGAAGCUGCUCGUUUCUUUUAUGCUGCUCGAGACUGUUAUAACACACUCAUUUCUAUACUUUUGUUUUGUUUUGCUUGUUUCCAAGCUUUACUUUUAUAAAAACUGUUUUAAUUCUUAUCCCCCGCUUGGGUACCUGUAUUGGAUGAGCACAAAGCAGGAGGAGCAGUUCCCUGUGCUAUGGGGGUUGGAGCAUAGAUCAGGGACCUUUGGGUGCUCCAUACCCACAUGUCCUCCAAUGGGAAAUGGGGGAGAUGAUGAGGAAUUUGAGGCAGAGGCGCUUUCUCCUCCAAACGCAGCGUCCUCUUCAUCUGUAAAAUGUAAAUGUUUUUCACCUUUUAAAAUAUGGGAUGUCUUUAAGAAAGAAUGAAAUAGUUGGCCACCAGUGUCUCACAAGUUAAUAUAGGUUGUUCAGAUGUAGCCUGGGGCAAAACAUAGAUUUUUCUCAUUGCAUUUGAAUAAAGCUUUCUCUUUUUCUCUUAGAUCUCAAAUCAGUAGGAAACCCAUUUUUCAAUGAAUAAACAUCACUUGGUUUGGUGUGUGUUUGCAGGGCUAUGGUAGGUACAGCUGUUACUCUUUAUCAACCUAAGUGGAGGAAAAGGAAGAAACUAAUCAAAACUCAGUGUACAAAAACUAGAAAAACUGAACUAACUUUUGCUUUCUAGUAAAGUUUCAGAUACAGUCCUCUUCCCACCAGCACACCUGGGAGCUCAUCUUCACCAUGCUUCCUCACCUCUUCUUAACAGUGAUGAUGCUGAGCACUUAGCACUGCAAAAUGGCAAGGUGAACUGAAGCACUUGGAAGUAUGUAUGAAAGAGGGAUGUGAGUUUAUGAGAAGCUAGGAUGAGGUUUGUUGGUCUCGUUUGCUGCUUUUCAGGAGAUGACUCCUUCCAUGCACUGCCAUGUGAACAAAAAGCUGCUCGUACACAAGCCUUAAAACAGAACUCAAGGAGCUGCACGCUGCUUUGGCUGUCUAGAAUCACUGCUCAAACAACAAGAUCUGGGCUGGGCCAUCCUUUAAAGGUGCUUUGAUUUUUCUUGUAAAGCAGUUCCACCACACGCACCAAAUGUUAUUUUGAAGUUCAGCUGGUGGUUUGAGGAAAGCAGAUAUUUGAGUAGUGCUCUCUGAAACAUGUCAACAUUUUGUGUGCUGCUGUUUCCAUGGAAACAGGUAUCAGCUCAGAAAAAUGGCCUCGGGAUUUCAAAACUAGAUGUAAAAAAUAAAAUCCAGAUAGGUUAGUCAUUCAUACUGCUACUCAUGAGCUGAUACUGGUGGUACUAAACGAUACGCCAUGAACACAUUAGGUAUAGACAGGCACAUUGGCAGGUCAAUGAUUUAUGUGUUUUUUAAGUGAGCCUCUGACUGAAGGAACUUUGUUAGAAAAACAUGCAUUAAUUGCGUUUUUUUCCUAGCUUGUUCUCUUCCACACACUUGAAAGCAAUCACAUUUUCAUCACUUCUUUAGGCCUCUACUUGAAAAAGGUAUUGAAAGAGGUACUGGACAAGAACUACAGAUUUAAGCUAGCUGGCAAAUUUUUCUUGUUAACAGGAAACACAAAGCUGAUCAUUUGGAAUCUUUAGCAGCACGUAGAAAUGAAGCAGGUGCCAUUUCUUUGAGCUCUUUGCCUCUGAGGACGUGUGCUUUAGGAAGAGCCGACUUGCAGGCGAGGCAGCUAUCCCAGCUGAGCACUGGAUCAGUGCAGGACUCCCUGCUGGCAGUGUGCACUGAGCACAUCUGUAUGGAGCUGAGGGCAGAGCGCCCCGGGAAUUCUUGGAAAAUGAAGACUCCUCUGUUUGGAGUCUUGCAUCUUCAGCUUAGUGAUUCAGACAUUUGUAUCUAUUUUCUAGCUCAAGCCAUGCCUAGAUGUCUGUCUUCGAUAUGAACUGGAUGUCCCCAGCCCUCUAGAGCACUGCUGGUGAAGGGCAGUAUGUUAAAGGAAAGGCACGGAGCAGGAGGUCAGUGCUGCAGGUGUGAAGUGAUUGGAAAGGGAUGGCUGCAGGGAAGGGAGGGAAAGGCACAGCAACAGAAAGCUGCAGCACUUCGCUGCACCCAGCAGUGAUGCAGUUCAGAAGAGAUGGGAGACACUGGGAAAGGACAGUAAGGCAGAACUGCAGGCCUGAAGAAGAAAAGGGAUGAGGUGGGGGUACAGGGCUAACUGCUGAGGUGGGGAAGCAGCCACAUGCCUGUGGAAGGGGAGAUGGUGUAGAAAACAGCUGCAAAAAAAAAAAAAAAAAGAAAACUGCUCUAAAAACAUUGGCACUUUCCCAAAAGAACACAGACUUUUUUUCACUCAAGUGGAAUUUGUUUGACAGAACAAUUCCUCUUAGAAAUAAAAUUCCUUAAACAUCGGAUCACUAAAUAAUGAAGGGUAGAGUGUCUAGUGACCUAAAUCAGAUUCCUUAAAAGGAUACCCACGAGGAUCAAACCAUGCUUCUGUACGGGCUCUACUUCAGUGAAAUACUCUCCCAAAACACUGGGGUGAAGCAAGCCUACAAUUCAUGCACACAGCGUGCUGCCCAUAAUAACAGGUUACUGACCUCAGUGUGGAUGUGGGCACUUACCAAGGGCAGUGUGGUUGUACACUUAUCCGUGUACACCUCCUCAGUAACCUGUCUGACCAACAGUCUCACAGGCUUCAAGGAUGGAAAUGCAGUGCAGAAGCAACACGCAAAGAGCUGGCCAGAGAAGUUUCUGUACAGCACAACACCAGAGACCUUACAGUGAGGGACUCAAGGAAGAUUUUACAGUAGGUACAGUGUUGCCAAGUUAUUCUUGUGUAUCUGUUACAGUAGCUCAAGAGUUGCUGCCAAGGUUGGUACCCACAUUCACACCAACUACACAGGUACUGCAUUUGAAGCUCACUUGUUGCUUAAAAAUAUCCAAGAGUGUAAUUGUCCUGAUGUGACAAGAAAGUAAGUUUGUAUGGCUUGUAGUAAGGUCCUCACCUCAGUCACUGCCCUGUGAGUUGGCUUUUAUCAAGCAGGUGUAACCAUUGCUGAUAUAUCAGACUAUUCAGCUCCUGAGAAGGCCCACUUUAAUCUGAUUUUCAGGAGCCACGAUCACUUCGAUAUGGUUGCAGAAGGAAACAAAAGAGCCAGAAGCCUCACAAACUUUAAACAAUUUAUUAGAACCCAUAUAUGUUGCUUUCAUUAGUUAACACCUGAAUUCAGGGUGAAAUUACAUUUUAAGAGCAAAAAAAUGCAGUGCUUAAAUAUGGCAUUUACUGAUGACUGCUAUUCUUAGAAUCCAGGUACAGGUUUGUUCUUACUGUGUGGUGUUAGUUUGGUAUCUAAUUCAGAGCAGGCUCAGUGUUUUAUUUUGAACUGGAAGUACAUCACACCAUGCAAAGGGCUGUUCCCCCCAUCUCCUCUCAGAGAUACGUAAUGAAGAACUCAAGCCUUAAACACCACCACCAGAGGGGAAAAAAAAACCAAACCGUUGGAAUGCAUCACCAGAAUUUGAUUUUUUAUUUCUUGUAUAUUUAAGACUCAUUAGCAGAAUAUGUCUGUAGCAAAAAUAAUGUAGCAAAAAAAAAAAAAA